rnacentral:misc_RNA from 1 species
GAUGAAGAACGCAGCGAAAUGCGAUAAGUAAUGUGAAUUGCAGAAUUCAGUGAAUCAUCGAAUCUUUGAACGCACAUUGCGCCCGCCAGUAUUCUGGCGGGCAUGCCUGUUCGAGCGUCAUUUCAACCAUCAAGCCCCCGGCUUGUGUUGGGGACCUGCGGCUGCCGCAGGCCCUGAAAACCAGUGGCGGGCUCGCUAGUCACUCCGAGCGUAGUAAUACAUCUCGCUCAGGGCGUGCUGUGGGUUCCGGCCGUUAAAAAAGCCUUAUUUACCCAAGGUUGACCUCGGAUCAGGUAGGAAGACCCGCUGAACUUAAGCAUAUCAAUAAGCGGAGGA